rnacentral:rRNA from 1 species
GACGAACGCUGGCGGCGUGCCUAAUACAUGCAAGUCGAGCGAAGUUUUUCUGGUGCUUGCACUAGAAAAACUUAGCGGCGAACGGGUGAGUAACACGUAAAGAACCUGCCUCAUAGACUGGGACAACUAUUGGAAACGAUAGCUAAUACCGGAUAACAGCAUUAACUGCAUGGUUGAUGUUUAAAAGUUGGUUUUGCUAACACUAUGAGAUGGCUUUGCGGUGCAUUAGCUAGUUGGUGGGGUAAAGGCCUACCAAGGCGACGAUGCAUAGCCGACCUGAGAGGGUGAUCGGCCACACUGGGACUGAGACACGGCCCAGACUCCUACGGGAGGCAGCAGUAGGGAAUCUUCCGCAAUGGGCGAAAGCCUGACGGAGCAACGCCGCGUGAGUGAAGAAGGAUUUCGGUUCGUAAAGCUCUGUUGUUAGGGAAGAAUGAUUGUGUAGUAACUAUACACAGUAGAGACGGUACCUAACCAGAAAGCCACGGCUAACUACGUGCCAGCAGCCGCGGUAAUACGUAGGUGGCAAGCGUUGUCCGGAAUUAUUGGGCGCAAAGCGCGCGCAGGUGGUUUAAUAAGUCUGAUGUGAAAGCCCACGGCUCAACCGUGGAGGGUCAUUGGAAACUGUUAAACUUGAGUGCAGGAGAGAAAAGUGGAAUUCCUAGUGUAGCGGUGAAAUGCGUAGAGAUUAGGAGGAACACCAGUGGCGAAGGCGGCUUUUUGGCCUGUAACUGACACUGAGGCGCGAAAGCGUGGGGAGCAAACAGG